CGGGGGGCGGGAGCAGUUGUUCGGUGAAUUACUGGGCGUAAAGGGCUCGUAGGCGGCCAACUAAGUCGGACGUGAAAUCCCCAGGCUCAACCUGGGAACUGCGUCCGAUACUGGAUGGCUUGAAUCCGGGAGAGGGAUGCAGAAUUCCAGGUGUAGCGGUGAAAUGCGUAGAUAUCUGGAGGAAUACCGGUGGCGAAGGCGGCAUCCUGGACCGGCAUUGACGCUGAGGAGCGAAAGCUAGGGGAGCAAACGGG
rnacentral:rRNA from 1 species